GACGAACGCUGGCGGCGUGCUUAACACAUGCAAGUCGAACGGAAAGGCCCUGCUUUUUUGGGAUGCUCGAGUGGCGAACGGGUGAGUAACACGUGAUUAACCUGCCCUAUACUUUUGGAUAGCUUCAGGAAACUUGAGCUAAUACCGGAUUGUAGCUCCGGCUUCGUUGUUGUGUUUGGAAAGUUUCGGCGGUUGUGGAUGGACUAGCGGCUUAUCGGCUUGGUGGUGGGGUGGUGGCUUACCAAGGCUUUGGAGGGGGGUCGGCCUGAGAGGGUGACCGGCAAAAGUGGGACAGAGAUACGGCAGACAGCACUAAGGGAGGCAGAAGUGUGGAAUAAUGACCGAUCGGCCCAAGCCUCAUGCAGCAACGAGGUGUGAGGGAUGAUGGACUUCGGGUUGUAGACCGGUUUAGGCUGUGCCGAAGCGUGGGUGACGGUAAUGGGCAAAGAAGCAGCGGCUAACUACGUG
rnacentral:rRNA from 1 species